rnacentral:rRNA from 1 species
AUCCUCCAAGGCUAAAUACUCCUGACUGACCGAUAGUGAACCAGUACCGUGAGGGAAAGGCGAAAAGAACCCCGGCGAGGGGAGUGAAAAAGAACCUGAAACCGUGUACGUACAAGCAGUGGGAGCCCCACCACUAAGCCAGUGGUGAACUCCACAUCCGCAUCCUUUGCUGAGGAUACGGUUAACGGAGCGAAAGCGACGUUCAACCGCAAAACAAGCAGAGGGGGCUUAGUGGUGGGGUGACUGCGUACCUUUUGUAUAAUGGGUCAGCGACUUAUAUUCUGUAGCAAGGUUAACCGAAUAGGGGAGCCGGAGGGAAACCGAGUCUUAAUUGGGCGUUAAGUUGCAGGGUAUAGACCCGAAACCCCCAGACAGCCAGGAUGUUGGCUUAGAAGCAGCCAUCAUUUAAAGAAAGCGUAAUAGCUCACUGGUCGAGUCGGCCUGCGCGGAAGAUGUAACGGGGCUAAACCAUGCACCGAAGCUGCGGCAGCGAACGUAUCACUUAAAGCGAUUCAGCGGGUUACGAUUGACGGAGCGAAGCGACGUCAAAGCGUAUACAAAGUCGAGUCGGUUUAAGGAUACGUUCGUUGGGUAGGGGAGCGUUCUGUAAGCCCGUGAAGGUGGCCUGUGAGGGUUGCUGGAGGUAUCAGAAGUGCGAAUGCUGACAUAAGUAACGAUAAAGCGGGUGAAAAGCCCGCUCGCCGGAAGACCAAGGGUUCCUGUCCAACGUUAAUCGGGGCA